rnacentral:rRNA from 1 species
GACGAACGCUGGCGGCGUGCUUAACACAUGCAAGUCGAACGGAAAGGCCCUGCUUUUGUGGGGUGCUCGAGUGGCGAACGGGUGAGUAACACGUGAGUAACCUGCCCUUGACUUUGGGAUAACUUCAGGAAACUGGGGCUAAUACCGGAUAGGAGCUCCUGCUGGAUGGUGGGGGUUGGAAAGUUUCGGCGGUUGGGGAUGGACUCGCGGCUUAUCAGUUUGUUGGUGGGGUAGUGGCUUACCAAGGCUUUGACGGGUAGGCGGUCUGAGAGGGUGACCGGCCACAUUGGGACUGAGAUACGGCCGAGUCCCCUACGGGGGACAGCAGUGGAGUAUAUUGCACAAUGGGCGGAAGCCUGAUGCAGCAACGCCGCGUGCGGGAUGGCGGCCUUCGGGUUGUAAACCGCUUUCGCCUGUGACGAAGCGUGAGUGACGGUAAUGGGUGAAGAAGCACCGGCUAACUACGUG